rnacentral:lncRNA from 1 species
CAGAACUCAUCUUGCUUCUUACGUAUCUGAGUGUCAUUUUUUUUUUCCACAAAAGUGCCUAUAUGAAAGACAAGACUGAUGAGUUUUGGCUUGCACUAUGAAGAGAAAAUUUGGAUGCCCCCAUUAGGAACUUCAGGAAUUCCCUGUACGGCUUCACAUCCCUGGGCUCCCAGCCACCUCCCAGUCUCACAUCUGCCACUGCCAGACUCACACAUCGCUAUUCAUCUCCUCCUACCAGCAAGUCGCCACACAUUGCUUGAUUUCCACUGUGCUUCUGUGAGUGUCCUGCCAUUCUCCCUUCUCCAGCUUCAUUUGCCAAACGAACAGAGGAUCUGCUCAGAUGUCUCUUACUCCGGAAAUCCUCAGUUCCCUAACUCUGGAGUGAGUUUUCAGUUUAAUGACUCCAUCGUUCCUGCGGACAUAUGUCUCACUGCCAUGACCUCAUAGUUUAGAAGUCAAUUUCUUCUAUUACAGUGUGAAGUCCUAGAGGUCCCAGGCUGUGCCUGAGCUCAUCUUUGCAUUGGC